rnacentral:antisense_RNA from 1 species
CUUCACCGAGCCCAGCCGCAGCGGCUGGUCCGCCGGACGGUCCUGGCCGUAGGUGGCCAGGAGGGCGUGGGCCUC